rfam:Heligmosomoides polygyrus genome assembly, scaffold: HPBE_scaffold0000693
GCGCUGGUGGUGUAAGGAGAACAUCGCUGCCCGGAAAGCAGAAGAUGCGGGUUCGAGUCCCGCCUGGCGCA